UCUAAUAUGGCAGAUAAGUGCGGUAGAUUUAAGCUCUACAAAUAAAGACUAUUCCUUUUGUUAGAA
rnacentral:tRNA from 1 species